AUACGGAGGGGGCAAGCGUUGUUCGGAAUUAUUGGGCGUAAAGCGUAUGUAGGCGGUUAAACAAGUCAGGUGUGUAAGCCCACGGCUCAACCGUGGAAUUGCAUUUGAAACUGUUUGACUUGAGUUCAGGAGAGGAAAGCGGAAUUCCCAGUGUAGCGGUGAAAUGCAUUGAUAUUGGGAAGAACACCGGUGGCGAAGGCGGCUUUCUGGCCUGACACUGACGCUGAGAUACGAAAGCCAGGGGAGCGAACGGGAUUAGAAACCCCGGUAGUCC
rnacentral:rRNA from 1 species